GGGCUGUGAAGAUAUUGGCUUUAGCGAAGGUUGGGUCCUUCGCAAUAUUCUGACUUCUCGGAUGUUAUUGCCUGACUGAGCUC
rfam:Eutrema salsugineum unplaced genomic scaffold scaffold_10, whole genome shotgun sequence.